rnacentral:lncRNA from 10 species
CUGCGCCAGACUCGGGGUUGUCGUGGAGUUCCUGACUUGAACCCAGGGUGCGUGUCGCGCCCACGGGGGGACACCCCAAAGCGGCAAGAAUGCCCCCUGGGAAGGGAACAGGACGCCAGGCUUGAAAGGGGACUUUGAAGCAGUCCAGGAAAAAACUUCCCACGGACCACGGUGCCUUCCCGGCAGCCCCUUUGCCAGGCCCGAGGGGGUUGUUGUGUCCCAGGCUUGCACCCAGGGUUCCACGGGGGGCACCCCAAAGCGGCAAAGCCCAGAGUUGAUCUCUGCACCACUCUAUCACUGCUGGGGGUGAGGAAAUGGUGGAACCGGUGAUUCAGGACUGUUUUUUCUCUCUUCUCAGUGCCUCUUUCAGUGAUAUGAAGUUAAAACCAGGAUGGAAGAUCAGUGGAGCCUUCUUUCUGCCAUCUUGCUUUACCCUCACACCCAAGAAUCAGAAUGCAGAACUUUUAAUCAGAAAAGCAUUCAGAACUCAGGAAGGACAUGGAAGACAUCCUGGUUCUCCACGUUUAACAUUGGACUGUUUCUUCAACUUAGGUGCAUAGCACUGACACUAAUCAGGGAUUAUCACCGAUAAUUUGACUUGGACUAUGGAGUUCAUUCAAAUACUUUAUCUAGACAAUUUAAGUACUGGCUUAUUUGUCAUGAAAAUCUGACAAAGUAAUUUCUUGGUAUUCAGUUGAUUUUUACUCUGUUUGGGUUAGCAGUUUAUAAACCAGUCAGUCUCUUCAUUAAAGUUCUGGGAAUUCUUACUCGUUCAAAUGAUAUGAUUCUAAAGUUCUCAAAAAUCUGUAUUCUAGAAUUCUUCUCAGGACCUUUUCCCUCCUUUCAUGAAACUCCUUAAAGAUACAGUAUUCUAUAAUUUUGCAAGCUUGUACAGUUUUCAGAAACUGCCUCAGAAUUAAGCAAUUUACAGUGGAAAUGUUUUUAAAUUGUCAUAGACACAAUUGACAAGAAAAUUUUAUUAUUUACAGGCGUGAGCCACCACACCCAGCCUCUGAAGUUAAUUUAAUAAAAUUUUAUGAAUAAAUUUAUCAAAUGUGUCAUCUUUUAAUCCCAGAUCUUUGUGAACCUAUGCUUUGCAUUUCCCCCAGCUUUCUAUAUUUACCUAGUUUUAUCUAUUUUUUACUUGUACAAUUUGAAACCUUUAAGUAACUUCAAACAAAAAAAAAUUAAAACAUAUGUUUACG